rnacentral:misc_RNA from 1 species
AAAAAUUUUAAUAAUUAAGAAAAACACAUCUUUCUUAACCAGAUAAACUUAACUCAGCCACUUGCACUGUGAGCAAAAAUAAAGCAAUAAUAGGGGUUGCAUUUACAGCACCCCAACUACUUUAUCGUCUUCCCAUAAAACCCAUAACUCGAAUCUAUCACAUAGCCACAAGCCACUGAUAUUCUAGUGAUAAUAUAAUAAUUAUCUUUUCUUGAUCCCUAUAAUACCCAUACAUGGCCAACAAUGAUGCAGCUUUGAGAGCCUCUCUGGUCUGGUUGGCUGCAGUUAUGGUGGUGAUAGGGAUAUGGACACACUCUUUGAAGAAAGUAAUGGUAACUUACAUAGUGGGUGUGCUUGGGAUUGCUGGGGUGUUAUUGCCUGACUGGGAUUUUUUUGAUAGAGAUUUCUCGCGGUGGUGCUCCCCUAUUAGCGAAGAAGAGAAGGCCGCUUUUGCUCAAAGAUCUGGGCUCAGGAAUAGGAUUUCUCCCCUCAGAUUGGUUGUUUACACCACUGUUUAUGGGUAUGCUUUUUAUAAGUGGUGGAUGUACAUAUCAAAUUAAUCUCUCCAUUUAGGUACUCACAAUGCUUCCUUGUGGUGAUCUUUGCAACUGUGCUUUUCGGAUUUAAAUUUGAUAUAUUUUUAAUGAUAUUGGCUAUUCCUAUGCUUGCAGAUAUGUAAAAUGCAAAAUAAAAUUAUGGUCAAAUGUUUCUGAUUCAUCAUAUCAGUGUGCAACUAGUUGUUUUUCUCAUUUCGGAAAUGGGAUUUGUUGAUUUAAAUUGUAGACAUGCUCAUCAAAACAAAGCAGCUGCAUGCCUCACUGAAAAUGAGCUUGAAACUUCACAGGUUCCCUCUGAAACAUUUUCUAGUUUUUUAAAUUAUCUCCAAUGCAUGCAACUAACAGUCGCUCGACAAAUUUGAGAUAAUAGCAAAGAUAUUAUAUGGUUGAAAAAAUAUAACCAAGUUUAAUAGAAAAUUUUAUUUUUUAGGAGAAAACAUCAGAGAUAAUGUGUUAGAUAAACAAUUUAAAAGUGAGAAUAAUCUCAAUGUUUGAAGUACUAAAUUUUAAUCAGAUUUGCAAUAAGUUCAGUUAUUAUGAAUACUAAUCCGAUUCAAUUUCGAACGAAGUUACUUUCACGGCUAUUUUACUCGUUAUCAUCCCUAUCCCUACCUUAAGCUCAACAAUAAAACAUUGCCGACAGUUUCAACACUUCCUCCAUCACAGCCACUUUACCCAUCCUGGGGUCGCCGGGGGCCUUAUAAUAGCUUUCAAGUGGGAGGUCGUAAACCAUCAUAAAGUUUGAAAGCUACCUCUGCUUCUCCUGCGCAUUUAUUUUGGCCAACAAAUCCAGUACAAAUGUGAAUAUCGUUUGUGGAUGUAAUUGAAUCCAGAGUUAAUAUAAUGCCAAUCUCAAUUUCAUAAUUUGAAGCUUUUAAUUUUUUACUGAAAUUCGAAUGGGUAUACUCAAAUUUUACUUAAUAAUUAUAAUUAAAAUUUUUAAAUUUUUAAAUAUAAAUUUUAAUUAAAAAUUAACCCUUUUUUUAAUUUUAUAUUAACACAUAAGAAUAAAGUUAUAGUUUUAGACAAUCUCAACUAAGAAAAAUUAUAUGCUUUUCUAUGUAACAAAAAAUUCCUAAAUUUAUUCGCAAUCUAAAAUACCAUCAUACCUAAGGUUAUUAAGGGUGAUAACACUAUGUUUGGAUUGGUAGAAAAUAUGUUUAGAUUGAUGAAAAAUAUAGAGGGAAAAAACAUUAGAAAGUAAAAUAAAAAGUAUUUUCCUUAUUAUGUUUGGAAAAGAGAAAUUACAGAAUAAAAAAAGAAAAUAAAAGUAAAAAAUAAUAGGUAGAUUCAUAAAUUAUUUUCUCUUCAAUUUGAAAAAAUGUGAGAGGAAAAUUAAUAAAAUUACCUUUUAAUAUCUUAAAUUUUUUUUGCCUU